AUCCCGGCCGGGGUACAAGCCUCGUCCCUUCGGCGUGGAAACAUUCUCGCUGGCGGCGCGCGAUGCUGCUAUGGCGGUCUACGGGACGAAGGCGACUCCACCAGUUUACUGUCUCACCAACUGAACGAUUGACGUCGGAGGCAGCAAGAUCCACGGGACGGAGGCGGAGGCGGCAGAGGCAGCUAAAGGACGGAGGCGCCCAAGAUCCGUCGUGGCUUCUUCACCGUCUAAUCCAAGCGAACAAGGUCGUGGUGGCUACUUCUCGCCGAUUAUUCCUGCACCGGUUCGAGUUGGAGAAGACGAACUUCCACCGUCUUGGGAUCCAAUAUCCUCUCCAUUAGUUACAAGGGCCAAGUCAUGCAUGAAGUAGCUCCAGUCUUUAGAGGAAGAAUGUCUUCUCUGUCUGUCAAAGAUAUGGAUCCAUGAUCUCGUCAUGGUCAUCACACUAGUGAUGUAUUCUUUUGCAACUUAAGUGAUGUAGUUUUUGCAACUUAUUAGUGUCAACAGACACGAGAUUAUUAUGCUUGUUGUAAUAAGGUUGUCUUCAUCGUAACAAAACUUGCUUGUCUCUA